AGUUUGAUCCUGGCUCACGAUGAACGCUAGCGGCAGGCCUAACACAUGCAAGUCGAGGGGCAGCGGGGUAGCAAUACUGCCGGCGACCGGCGCACGGGUGCGUAACGCGUAUGCAACCUACCUUUAACAGGGAGAUAGCCCCGAGAAAUCGGGAUUAAUACCCCAUAGUAUUUUAGAUUGGCAUCAAUUUAAAAUUAAAGCUCCGGCGGUUAAAGAUGGGCAUGCGUGACAUUAGUUAGUUGGUGAGGUAACGGCUCACCAAGACAUCGAUGUCUAGGGGUUCUGAGAGGAUGAUCCCCCACACUGGUACUGAGACACGGACCAGACUCCUACGGGAGGCAGCAGUGAGGAAUAUUGGUCAAUGGACGCAAGUCUGAACCAGCCAUGCCGCGUGCAGGAAGACGGCCCUAUGGGUUGUAAACUGCUUUUAAUUAGGAAUAACCCCCCGGAUGUAUUCGGGGCUGAAAGUACUAAAAGAAUAAGCAUCGGCUAACUCCGUGCCAGCAGCCGCGGUAAUACGGAGGAUGCAAGCGUUAUCCGGAUUCAUUGGGUUUAAAGGGUUCGCAGGCGGCAUAUUAAGUCAGUGGUGAAAUGCCUCCGCUCAACGGAGGAACUGCCAUUGAUACUGGUAUGCUAGAGUAUAGUUGGCGUAGGCGGAAUAUUUCAUGUAGCGGUGAAAUGCUUAGAUAUGAAAUAGAACACCGAUCGCGAAGGCAGCUUACGAAGCUAUAACUGACGCUCAUGAACGAAAGCGUGGGGAUCAAACAGGAUUAGAUACCCUGGUAGUCC
rnacentral:rRNA from 1 species